rnacentral:siRNA from 1 species
CAACCAUGUUGCUUGAUUGUUGA